UCCCCGUUUUCCGGGGCAGUCUCUGUAGAGUUCCUGGCAUGACCCGUUGGCAACUACAGACGAGGGUUGCGCUCGUUGCGGGACUUAACCCAACAUCUCACGACACGAGCUGACGACAGCCAUGCAGCACCUGUGCACGGACUCCGAAGAGGAACCGAUGUUUCCACCGGCUUUCCCGUGCAUGUCAAGCCCAGGUAAGGUUCUUCGCGUUGCGUCGAAUUAAACCACAUGCUCCACCGCUUGUGCGGGCCCCCGUCAAUUCCUUUGAGUUUCAGCCUUGCGGCCGUACUCCCCAGGCGGGGUACUUAAUGCGUUAGCGCCGGCACCCAGGGGGUCGCUCCCCCAGGCACCUAGUGCCCAUCGUUUACGGCGUGGACUAC
rnacentral:misc_RNA from 1 species